rnacentral:rRNA from 1 species
GACGAACGCUGGCGGCGUGCCUAAUACAUGCAAGUCGAACGAGAGCGACCGGUGCUUGCACUGGUCAAUCUAGUGGCGAACGGGUGAGUAACACGUGGGUAACCUGCCCAUCAGAGGGGGAUAACAUCCGGAAACGGAUGCUAAAACCGCAUAGGUCUUCGAGCCGCAUGGCUUGAAGAGGAAAAGAGGCGCAAGCUUCUGCUGAUGGAUGGACCCGCGGUGCAUUAACUAGUUGGUGAGGUAACGGCUCACCAAGGCCGUGAUGCAUAGCCGACCUGAGAGGGUGAUCGGCCACAUUGGGACUGAGACACGGCCCAAACUCCUACGGGAGGCAGCAGUAGGGAAUCUUCCGCAAUGGACGCAAGUCUGACGGAGCAACGCCGCGUGAGUGAAGAAGGUUUUCGGAUCGUAAAACUCUGUUGUUAGAGAAGAACAAGUGCUAGAGUAACUGUUAGC